GUAGUUGCACGUUCGCUGCCAAAGACAGCCGGUGCCUUGAAUCCAAGGCUUAAUGGGAAUUCCCGCCUGCCGAGGUGGUCUUGAGAUUAGUACAUCCAGACCCCGCUUUGGUUGCCAAAGUGGGGUCUUUUCAUGUGAGG
rfam:Atopobium parvulum DSM 20469, complete genome.